rnacentral:lncRNA from 1 species
UACAAUGGAUUUUCCCAUUAGCUAUGGAGCUAAGCUUUGACUUUGCUCCCCUAUGCUACCCCCUUUUUUGGCAAAAUGGGUGCCCAUCUUCUUUUUGAUCAGCUCCAAAACAUGUCAACCUAUAAACAUUGAGAAACCGAACCGUAGGAUGCGUUUUUCUCAUGACGAGUUAUCAUCAUCUAUGACGUUGGUCUUUCUUUUAUGUGUGUGUGUUUUUUUUUUGUGGGCAUAAAAUCAUGACUCACUCUGGUUCGACGAUCGGUUUGCUAAAAAUGGUGCAUGGCUUCCUCUGCUUGAUCUAGCUGGAGUGCACGGGGUGCGGCCGAACGUGGUACGCCCCCGCAGACGAGGUAUCGACGUUGACCGCGGACGCGCCGCCGAGCGCCGCCGGAGAUCCCGGAGCCAAGUUCGACGUCAUCGAGAAGAAGCCGAUCGGCCCUCGCGUUCCUGAGGAACCCCGCCCACAGCGCAGCAGCCCUUCUUCCCGAGUCAACGGCGCCCAACGCUCCCCUCGUCGCAGGAAAACAGAGGCCACUCAAGCUUCCCCUCUGUAAGGAAGCUUCUUCCUCUCCCCUCCACCGCAGGUUCUAUAAAUGGCAAUACAUAGUUCCGUUGACCUACAUUUCCUUUCUUUUGGGAAGAUCAUCGGCUACCAAAGAAUUCGUUGGUUCCGAGGCAACCAAAACGCCUCUCUAUUGAUCUCACCUUCAGAAAUGCAUUCUGUAUCCCUUGGUGUCAAAGAAUCCCCGGGCUUUUUUUCCUUUUUUCCUUUUUUUUUUUGUUGUUGUUGACGAACCAAAUGUGAUGUCAUCAUGGAAAAGCCUCUCUAUCAAUGCUACUUUUAGGAAUAUAAAAAUUUCAACCCUCCCAAUCCAAGAAAAAGCACCUCAAUCAAUCUCCAAGUGUUCUUGACACAUUCAG